GGCAGGGUAGCUUAACUGGCAGAGCGGAGGGCUAAUCCCCCUUGAUUCGGGUUCAAAUCCUGACCUUGCCU
rnacentral:tRNA from 1 species